UUUAAACACGUUUGCAAUUUGGUUCAAGAUUAUUUUAUUCAUUUUCCUCCUUACAUUUUAUUUCCUUUACAGUUCCCUUGUUGGUUUCGAUUCAUUUUGUCGAUUAGUUACGAUUCACUGUUUACGGAAAGAAAAAAUCCCGAAUUAUCUACAUACAAUAUACAUGUCAAAAGCCUUCUUCUCCUUUGUUAUCGUUAAUUAAGAGAAAAGUGACAAUUUUUCAAACAGGGAGCGGAAGGAUGAUUUAAAAUAAUUCAGCUGAACGGCAAAGAUGCCCUCAGCUUGCUUGUAUUGCUUUUCUUUACCCUUCACAAAUAAUAGAGAACUAGAUUACAUAUGCUUAAGAUUUUAUUCCAGGUGGUAAACAUUCUCAUUGCUUUUUCGUUUUACUACAAUGAGUUGGAAAGCAUGCUUUUCCGAUUUUGGGAAAAAUCCCCUAAAUGACGGGAUCCACUUCUACUAAUAAAUUUUACGUUGUUAAGUCUAUGGUUUCCUUUCUUGCAUUUAGCUUAACAUAACUUUUUUCCCUACAAAAGUGGUUUGCCUAGGGUUUUUUUAAGUUAGCGUAAAAAGUUCUAUGAAAAAAAAACUAUUCUCAAUAUAAAAAAGAAAAAUGUAUAAUCACAGUUCAAUAAUUGUUGUUUUUUUUCUUCGCUUGGAAACUAUUGAUUGGCGGAUUAAAAAAUCUGUUUAUCAUUAAACGGUUCAACAGGUGAGGUGGUUGGGAAAUUUGGUACUGCGAUGUGUUUGGAAUUUUGUUUAUUUGACUUAAUUAAAAUAAAACAACAGUAACUAACAAAAAAAUUGAGCAAAUUAGAUUCAGUUGAAUGUUACGAUAACAUAUGCAAAGAAAGGGGAUUAUACUUCACCAUUCGGUAAGGGCGUGAUAAAUUAUAUAUAAAGCCUUGUGCACAUUAAGUAAAAAGGUGAAUAAAGGACUUUUGGGAAUGGUUGUCUUUUAGAGUGCAAUGCUAAAGCAAAUAGGUAAAAGGGUAGUAAAUAAUGCAACCAUCAUUUUAACGUGCGAUGGUUGCACAUUAAGCCAACGCCAUUUAGUUGCUAUCUUAAGGGGAUCGAACGAAGCGAAAUAGUUUUUACUUUUGGAAAAACCAUAAGUAGUCAGUGGUGUUAAAUUGUACACACCGAUCCGAUGACUUGUUCAUUAAGUCAAAAACUUUUUCGUAUCAGGGGUGUACAUAAUUAG